rnacentral:rRNA from 1 species
ACGGGAGGCAGCAGUGGGGAAUAUUGCACAAUGGGCGAAAGCCUGAUGCAGCGACGCCGCGUGAGGGAUGACGGCCUUCGGGUUGUAAACCUCUUUCAGCAGGGACGAAGCGGAAGUGACGGUACCUGCAGAAGAAGCACCGGCCAACUACGUGCCAGCAGCCGCGGUAAUACGUAGGGUGCGAGCGUUGUCCGGAAUUACUGGGCGUAAAGAGCUCGUAGGUGGUUUGUCGCGUCGUCUGUGAAAUUCCGGGGCUUAACUCCGGGCGUGCAGGCGAUACGGGCAUAACUUGAGUGCUGUAGGGGAGACUGGAAUUCCUGGUGUAGCGGUGAAAUGCGCAGAUAUCAGGAGGAACACCGGUGGCGAAGGCGGGUCUCUGGGCAGUAACUGACGCUGAGGAGCGAAAGCGUGGGGAGCGAACAGGAUUAGAUACCCUGGUAGUCCACGCCGUAAACGUUGGGCGCUAGGUGUGGGGCUCAUUCCACGAGUUCCGUGCCGCAGCUAACGCAUUAAGCGCCCCGCCUGGGGAGUACGGCCGCAAGGCUAAAACUCAAAG